rnacentral:lncRNA from 1 species
AGAGUGUCGAUGGGACACGUGUUCUUUGGUGGUGAUGGGGUUGGCACUGGUGUUGGUGGUGGUGGAGGAGGACAUGGUGUCUCAGUGGGUGGAGGAGGCUUAACUGGUACAACUGGGGUAGGUGUAGGUGUUGGUGGGCUUGGUGGUACAACAGGUGGUGAUGGUGGUGGCUUAACUGGUACAACUGGGGUAGGUGUUGGUGUUGGUGGGCUUGGUGGUACAACAGGUGGUGAUGGUGGUGGCUUAACUGGUACAACUGGGGGCUUGGGUACAUAGGGUGGUGGGGGUUGUACAACUGGGGGCUUGGGUACAUAUGGUGGUGGUGGUUGUACAACUGGGGGUUUGGGGAUGAAGGGUGGGUGCACAAUUGGGGGUUUAGGGAUAAAAGGUGGGUGCACGAUUGGGGGCUUGGGGAUGAAGGGUGGGUGCACAAUUGGGGGCUUGGGGAUGAAGGGUGGGUGCACAAUUGGGGGUUUAGGGAUGAAGGGUGGGUGCACAAUUGGGGGUUUAGGGAUGAAGGGUGGGUGCACAAUUGGGGGUUUAGGGAUGAAGGGUGGGUGCACAAUUGGGGGCUUGGGGAUGAAGGGUGGGUGCACAAUUGGGGGCUUGGGGUGGGGUGGUGGUUUGACAAUAGGAGGCUUGGGGAUGAAGGGAGGUCUCACAAUAGGUGGUUUGGGGACAGAAGGAGGUUUUGGUAUAUGGGGAGGAUAUACAAUGGGGGGUUUGGGGCCAUGAGGUGGCUUGGGUACAUGGGGUGGAUGAGGAUGAGGUGGCUUUGAUGGUGGCUUGGGAACAUAGGGAGGCUUUACAUGAGGGGGAUGGGGUGGUUUUGAUGGUGGUUUGGGAACAUAGGGAGGCUUUACAUGAGGAGGAAGAGGUGGUUUUGAUGGUGGUUUGGGAACAGAGGGAGGCUUUACAUGAGGGGGAUGAGGUGGGUGUUUAGGUGGUUUAGGGAUGAAGGGUGGCUUUACAUGAGGAGGCUGUUUGGGUGGCAAGUGUGGAGGGUAUGUUGGUGGUGGACAGUAGGAGUUAGCAAGAGAAGUGAGCAAACUACCCAAAUUCACAAUGAGGACUAAGAGCAAAGCCAGG